AGAUGGAGGUUCCGGUUCCGGUGCAGUGUCUGGCUGGUUGCGUUGCUACGGCAGCGCGGUUGAGCGCUCUCGUCUGUGUGAUCGGGGCUUCGCUGACUUUCCGGCCUACUUAAGCCCCUGGGCCUGGGCCCAGGAAGGGUUUGUUGAACCGGGAGCUAAGAAGGGAAUUGGCUCGUUCGACAGACGUUUUCUGCGCAGCUGUGGCGUGCAAGGCACGGGGCCGGUGCGGGACCUCCAGAGAGACCUGUGCCCAAAGCUUGAGAAAUGAGAAGCAGAUUCCUGGAUUCCAGGUAAAUCAGAGGAACAAACCUGAACAGAAAUAUACAGGAAGUGAUGUGAUGCUGAAGCUUAACGCUUAUUUCAGAAGUCUGGUAUCUGGUGCUCUUAACAGCAGAAACUAUAUUAUUUGCAAAAUCACCACGCUUUUACUUGUAUUAUAUAGUAAUUUUUUAAAAAAUAAAUAUUGACAAUUUGUUCU
rnacentral:lncRNA from 1 species